GCGGAGGUUGCCGAGCCAGGUUAAAGGCGGCAGACUCAAGAUCUGCUCUCACAGGAGUUCGCCGGUUCGAAUCCGGCCCUCCGCA
rnacentral:tRNA from 1 species